GGGGAAUUUUGGACAAUGGACGAAAGUCUGAUCCAGCGACGCCGCGUGGAGGACGAAGGUUUUCGGAUCGUAAACUCCUUUUACAGGGGACGAAAGCGGGCAACCGUUUGACGGUACUCUGUGAAUAAGCCACGGCUAACUACGUGCCAGCAGCCGCGGUAAUACGUAGGUGGCGAGCGUUACUCGGAAUUACUAGGCGUAAAGCGCGUGUAGGCGGGAGCUUAAGUCUGUCGUGAAAGCUCAGGGCUCAACCCGGAAAUGCCGGCAGAAACUGGGCUUCUUGAGUGCGGUAGAGGAGAUCGGAAUUCCAGGUGUAGCGGUGAAAUGCGUAGAUAUCUGGAAGAACGCCAAAGGCGAAGGCAGAUCUCUGGGCCGUUACUGACGCUGAGACGCGAAAGCUAGGGGAGCAAAC
rnacentral:rRNA from 1 species